rnacentral:rRNA from 1 species
GUCGUGCGAGAAAGUUCUUCGGAUAUGAGUAGAGCGGCGGACGGGUGAGUAACGCGUAGGAAUCUACCUAGUAGAAGGGGAUAGCCCGGGGAAACCCGGAUUAAUACCGUAUACCUCCUUCAGGAGAAAGAAGGCCUCUCUUUGAAGCUUUCGCUAUUAGAUGAGCCUGCGUAAGAUUAGCUUGUUGGUGAGGUAAAGGCUCACCAAGGCGACGAUCUUUAGCUGGUCUGAGAGGACGAUCAGCCACAUUGGGACUGAGACACGGCCCAGACUCCUACGGGAGGCAGCAGUGGGGAAUAUUGGACAAUGGGCGCAAGCCUGAUCCAGCCAUACCGCGUGUGUGAAGAAGGCCUUCGGGUUGUAAAGCACUUUAAGCAGGGAGAAAAAGUUAUAAGUUAAUACCUUAUAACCGUGAUGUUACCUGCAGAAUAAGCACCGGCUAAUUCCGUGCCAGCAGCCGCGGUAAUACGGAAGGUGCAAGCGUUAAUCGGAAUUACUGGGCGUAAAGCGCGCGUAGGUGGUUUGUUAAGUUGGAUGUGAAAGCCCUGGGCUCAACCUAGGAACUGCAUCCAAAACUAACUCACUAGAGUACGAUAGAGGGAGGUAGAAUUCAUAGUGUAGCGGUGGAAUGCGUAGAUAUUAUGAAGAAUACCAGUGGCGAAGGCGGCCUCCUGGAUCUGUACUGACACUGAGGUGCGAAAGCGUGGGUAGCGAACAGGAUUAGAUACCCUGGUAGUCCACGCCGUAAACGAUGACAACUAGCUGUUGGAAGACAAAGUCUUUCAGUGGCGCAGCUAACGUUUUAAGUUGUCCGCCUGGGGAGUACGGCCGCAAGGCUAAAACUCAAAUGAAUUGACGGGGACCCGCACAAGCGGUGGAGCAUGUGGUUUAAUUCGAUGCAACGCGAAAAACCU